ensembl:lncRNA
GCCGGGCCUGGGCCGGCGGGGAGCGGAUUGGUCGGAAAGUAGGUUAGUGGUGCGACAUUUAGGGAAGGCAGAAAGUAGGUCAGGGACGGAGGUGCCUGUUUACCCGCGCCGGACUCACCGCCGCCGCCGCCGCGGGAUCCGAGUGGGGGCGCGGGCGCGGGCGCUCCCGGCGAGCCACGGUAAAAACCAGUUUUGGUGAGGAUUGGAGAGAGAGAGAGAGAUGAGAAUGACUCCAAACCUCUGACCCUGGCAACUAGAAGAUCAGGAGACCAUGCCCUUACACUGAGAUUGGUGGUGCUGUCUAACGUGCAUGUUUUUGGACCCAAGCUUAACUUUUCAAAUGUGGAAUGCUAGGCCUUCAUUGCAACAGAUGCUCACUUCAAAGCCAGGAUUAGAACUCUUCACGCCUGGCUUGGAAUUCCAGCUCCAUCAGCUCAUUAGAUGCGCAGGCCUGGGAAAAUGCACACGCUCUCUGCAGCCUUGGUUUUCUCCUGGUGCCGGAGAAAGAAGAGUUCCACCUCCUAACACUGCGGCAAGAAUUCAGGGAGAUCGGUCCAUAGGAUGCUUUGCAGAGGUUUGGCGUGGAUUCUUUGACUCAGUGACUGUUUUAUUCAGCACCCGCUCCAAACCAGUCAGCAUUCUAGUUGCUCUGGAAACACUUAAUAACGAGACAGAGGGGGCCUCAGCUCCAGUGAAGCACACAUUCUAAUCAGAGGCGACACAAAGACUCAAGGCCAUUUCAGAAAUUAAGAAGCUAGAACCCCCCACCCCGGGUGAUUUGCGAGCCCUAGGAAGGAUGCCUGGGGCCAUCUCUGGAGGAGAGGCUCAGUGCUUUGACCCACGGGCCCCAAGUUUUCCAGGACACCCAGUGUGAACAGUUCUGCCCUCUACGGGUAGGUCCUGAUUUUAAGUUUGGAAGAUCUGACCAGUGAUCACAUGCAGGUUCUCCUUUACCUGGCUCCCCAUUCCUGAGCUUGGGGCUCUGUUGCAGGGCCUUUAGAAGGCCUUUUGGCGAGCUUGAGAAGUGCCGCUCUCCACUCACCCAGCGGAGCUGACACUGAAUGAAGAGCCUCUGCUGUGUUGGGAGGGAGGGUGAUCUGUUUCUAGCUAGAGCCCACUUUGUUCCAGUGCUGCUGGUUGCAGAUUCUCUCUCUGGGAGGCUCUCAUGCUGCAGUCUCCCGAUUCUCUGCAUGCAGUUUUUAAAUGGCUUGUGGAGGCCAUGUGAAAGCUGGGCCACCCCAACUUGUAUGUUGGACCACAGGGCCAUCAGCCCAACCUCCUAUGCCCACCGCAUCGCCCCUCUCGCGUAUAGUAUGCCUUUUUAAAAAACAUUACUGAUUUUUAAAAAUAUAUUUAAUUUACUUUUUGGCUUCACUGCAUAGUAUGUGGAAUCUUAGUUCCCUGACCAGAGGCUGAACCCACUCCCCCUGUGGUGGAAGCACAGAGUCCCAGCCUCUGGAGCACCAGGGAAGUGCUGUAGUAUGCAUUUUUAAAUGACUGUUCAGCCUCUAUC